rnacentral:tRNA from 1 species
UGAGGCCUUAGUUUAAUUAAAAUGUCUGAUUUGCAUUCAGGAGAUGUAGAUAGAUUCUAUAGGUUUUA